rnacentral:misc_RNA from 1 species
GGAAGUAAAAGUCGCAACAAGGUCUCCGUAGGUGAACCUGCGGAGGGAUCAUUACAGAGUUCAUGCCCUACCGGGUAGAUCUCCCACCCUAUGUUAUUAUUACUUUGUUGCUUUGGCGGGCCGUUAGGCUCCGACCCGACUACCGGCCCCGGCUGGUAAGCGCCCGCCAGAGGACCCAAAACCCUGAAUAUUAGUGUCGUCUGAGUACUAUAUAAUAGUUAAAACUUUCAACAACGGAUCUCUUGGUUCUG